AGCGAACGCUGGCGGCAGGCUUAACACAUGCAAGUCGAGCGCACGUAGCAAUACGUGAGCGGCAGACGGGAGAGUAACACGUGGGAACGUACCCUUCGGUUCGGAAUAACUCAGGGAAACUUGAGCUAAUACCGGAUACGUCCGCAAGGAGAAAGAUUUAUCGCCGAGGGAUCGGCCCCCGUCCGAUUAGCUUGUUGGUGGGGUAAUGGCCCACCAAGGCGACGAUCGGUAGCUGGUCUGAGGGGAUGAUCAGCCUCACUGGGACUGAGACACGGCCCAGACUCCUACGGGAGGCAGCAGUGGGGAAUAUUGGACAAUGGGCGCAAGCCUGAUCCAGCCAUGCCGCGUGGGUGAUGAAGGCCUUAGGGUUGUAAAGCCCUUUCGGCGGGGAAGAUAAUGACGGUACCCGCAGAAGAAGCCCCGGCUAACUUCGUGCCAGCCGCCGCGGUAACAC
rnacentral:rRNA from 1 species